rnacentral:rRNA from 1 species
CGAUAACGAACGAGACCUUAACCUGCUAAAUAGAGAUGCGAACCUGCGUUCGUACGCUCUUCUUAGAGGGACUGACUACGUUUAGUGGUCGGAAGUUUGAGGCAAUAACAGGUCUGUGAUGCCCCUAGAUGUUCUGGGCUGCACGCGCGCUACACUGACAGAGGCAACGAGUAUACAACCUUGACCGGAAGGUCUGGGCAAUCUUUUUAAACUCUGUCGUGCUGGGGAUAGAGCAUUGCAAUUAUUGCUCUUCAACGAGGAAUUCCUAGUAAGCGCAUGUCAUCAGCAUGCGUUGAUUACGUCCCUGCCCUUUGUACACACCGCCCGUCGCUACUACCGAUGAAUGGCUGGGGCGGGGGCGGCGGGCCGGGCGCGGGGCGCGGCGGGCGAGGUCUCGUUCGUUAUCGA